rnacentral:sRNA from 1 species
AAGGGUUGCCCUUGGCAACAGGAGGACGCGGGCUGGCAGGCUUGGUUCCUGGAGAGUUUUUUAGCACCCGCCUGCGGUCUGAGGCACCGGCUGAACCAUGUCGGAGAUCCUGUGCCAGUGGCUCAACAAAGAGUUGAAGGUGUCCCGGACCGUGAGUCCCAAGUCAUUUGCAAAGGCAUUUUCCAGUGGCUAUCUACUUGGAGAAGUUCUACACAAGUCUGAACUUCAGGAUGAUUUUUCAGAAUUUUUGGACAGCAGGGUUUCAAGUGCCAAACUUAAUAAUUUUUCUCGCUUGGAGCCAACGCUUCACCUUCUGGGUGUGCAGUUUGAUCAGAAUGUGGCCCAUGGCAUCAUCACAGAAAAGCCUGGGGUGGCAACAAAGCUAUUAUAUCAAUUGUACAUUGCUCUUCAGAAAAAGAAGAAAAGUGGACUGACUGGAGUGGAGAUGCAAACCAUGCAACAUCUGACAAAUUUAAGACUUCAAAACAUGAAAAGUGAUACUUUUCGAGAGGUGGGUACAUAAAAAAGCAUAAUAAGCAUGUCACAGUGUAAAAUUUGAUAAAGAGAAAUGACAAUGAUAUUG